rnacentral:lncRNA from 10 species
GAAAAAUGAGGCAGAAAGGUUUCAAGGAGCAAACGUGUUCUCUCAAUACUUUCGUCAUGGAUAUAGGACUAAAUAAUUCUCCUGAUGUUUUAUGGAGAAAAUGAGGCACAGGAAAGUCUGACGACCAACCCAUAGUCACUGCAGGGGCUAAUAGCUUGAGAAGGUCACUAGAGUCCAGGGCUCGGCCUUAGUUCAGAUCCAAGUUUAAAUGCUUUUCUGGAAGUCCCAUGUCCUUUUGUAGGUAACCUCAUAGCACCUCUGGGUGAGCUGCCCAAGAGGGUGUCCAAGGAGGUGAAGUGGGUGAGCUAAGGUCCCAGUGGAGGCAGGAGCUGCUGGUCCCUGCUCCAGACCCAGGUAACAGGGACCAACCGAGAGCAGCCAGUAGGAUCCCAGGCCUGCCCUCCAGCCCCUUUGCUUUUACAUUCUGAAAAACCCAGUCUCUUCCCUGAGGAGGAGGUCGCCCUGCUAAAGAAAUUGCCUUCGAAUGCAGUACAGUGAGGGGAGGGAAAAUACAAUAGUAAUAAUCAAAGGCUUUGCCUUUUUAAAAUUAGUAACCAAACAAGGUGACAGCCUCCCCCUUUCAGUGGGGGAAGGGGCAGCAGGGAGGGUCAGGGAAUGGAUGGGACCAGGAACCCACCACACUGGGCAGGCAAUAAGGAGCUAUUGUCCUCUGGAUUUUACAACAGCCCUAAACACCCAGAGAUGAAUGAGACCAGUUCCCACCUUCAGGAAGUUUACAGUCUGAAGAAUGAGGUGUGGAGAGGCCGACCUCUAAUUUGAAGCCUAGAAGAAGCAACAAGGGAUGACUUUGCUUGGCCCUGAGCUGACAGUCUAGGAUGAGAGCAAGUGACAGACGACAGCAACCCCAGCUGAAUGCUCUGUAAGUCCCCUACCCCCACCAUCUCUGUCCAAGAUGAGUCAAAACUUGUGGCACAGGGAGGGAAGCUGCAGUGCCCCCGGGAAAGGAGCUUGUGGCUGAGUAGCUGGGAAAACGUUUGAAUGAGGAGACAGCAGAGACGUGGGCCAGA